rnacentral:rRNA from 1 species
AACCAGCACCUCAAGUGGUCAGGAGGAUUAUUGGGCCUAAAGCAUCCGUAGCCGGCUCUGUAAGUUUUCGGUUAAAUCUAUAUGCUCAACGUAUAGGCUGCCGAAAAUACUGCACAGCUAGGGAAUGGGAGAGGUAGACGGUACUCGGUAGGAAGGGGUAAAAUCCUUUGAUCUAUCGAUGACCACCUGUGGCGAAAGCGGCUGGCUGGGGCCACUCUGACGCUGAGGCGCGAAAGCGUGGGGAGCAAACAGG